rnacentral:rRNA from 1 species
UACGUAGGGCGCAAGCGUUGUCCGGAAUUAUUGGGCGUAAAGAGCUCGUAGGCGGCUUGUCACGUCGGGUGUGAAAGCCCGGGGCUUAACCCCGGGUCUGCAUUCGAUGCGGGCAGGCUAGAGUGUGGUAGGGGAGAUCGGAAUUCCUGGUGUAGCGGUGAAAUGCGUAGAUAUCAGGAGGAACACCCGAGGCGAAGGCGGCUCUCUGGGUCGUACCUGACGCUGAGGCGCGAAAGCGUGGGGAGCGAACGGG